ensembl:lncRNA
CACGCUUCGAAUCCACGGCACAUCUCGUAACGUCACUACGCUGGCAGUACACUCUUGUUCGCCUCCUGGUUGAAACUUAGAAUGGAAUAAAAUCUGAGUACAUGGUGCAAUGAAUGCAACUACAGCAUUUUACAUGCUACAGUUUUUCCUGAGGGCCCCCUUCAGGAGACUAAGGAAUGAAAGAAGAUGGCUGUAGCUGGACUGAGGGACAGCUACACUGACAAUAAACUCACCCAAUUUACAGCAUAAUCAUUUCAUUAAUAUAGCAAAUAAACGAACUACAAAGUAAUUGUCAGGUGAUUGAUGAUGUAGUACUCUGUAUGUCCAGGAGAGGGUACUCUUUUAAUCGCAUUAUAACUGUGGUAAUAUAAUGUAUUCAAGUUAAACCAGCAGGGUUACAUUAGGUAAUAUGGUGACAUUCUGAAAUGAAUG